rnacentral:tRNA from 1 species
GGGCGAGUAGCUCAGUACGGAUAAUCAAGUCGUUUUCCGCUAAGCCUAACAAUGGACUUGGAGAAUUGACUUGGUCUGGAUAGAGCACCAGCCUCCUAAGUUGGGGGUCGAGGGUUCAAAUCCCUCCUCGUCCGCCA